GAUGAAGAACGUAGCGAAAUGCGAUACGUAAUGUGAAUUGCAAAUUCAGUGAAUCAUCGAGUCUUUGAACGCACAUUGCGCCCCCUGGUAUUCCGGGGGGCAUGCCUGUCCGAGCGUCAUUGCUGCGCUCAAGCACGGCUUGUGUGUUGGGCCCCGUCCUCCGAUCCCGGGGGACGGGCCCGAAAGGCAGCGGCGGCACCGCGUCCGGUCCUCGAGCGUAUGGGGCUUUGUCACCCGCUCUGUAGGCCCGGCCGGCGCUUGCCGAUCAACCCAAAUUUUUAUCCAGGUUGACCUCGGAUCAGGUAGGGAUACCCGCUGAACUUAAGCAUAUCAAUAGCGGAGGA
rnacentral:misc_RNA from 1 species